UACGGGGGGGGGGCAAGCGUUGUUCGGAAUUACUGGGCGUAAAGGGCGCGUAGGCGGCCUUCUAAGUCAGACGUGAAAUCCCCCGGCUUAACCUGGGAACUGCGUCUGAUACUGGAAGGCUUGAGUUUGGGAGAGGGAUGCAGAAUUCCAGGUGUAGCGGUGAAAUGCGUAGAUAUCUGGAGGAACACCGGUGGCGAAGGCGGCGUCCUGGACCAACACUGACACUGAUGAGCGAAAGCCAGGGGAGCAAACGGG
rnacentral:rRNA from 1 species